CAGGCUGGAAUGCAGUGGCGCAAUCCCGGCUCAUGCAACCUCUGCCUCCAGGGUUCAAGCGAUUCUCCUGCCUCAGCCUCCCGAGUAGCUGAGAUUACAGGCACGUGCCACCACACCCGGCUAAUUUUUGUAUUUUUAGUAGAGACGGGGUUUCACUAUGUUGGCCAGGAUGGUCUCCAUCUCUUGACGUUGUGAUCUGCCUGCCUCAGCCUCCCAAAGUGCUGGGAUUACAGGCAUGAGACACCGCGCCCAGCCAAUAAAAGUAUCUUUUUUUUUUUUAAAUAUAAAUUCCUUUUUUAAGAGUUACUGGUCUCUCAUUUCACUUAGAUUUCUUUGGGACUAUACAUGAGAAAACUAGAGUUCCCUAAAUAAUUUUGGAACAUCUGUAAAGAGCAGUACUGAAUGAUAAAAAUGUAACAUGUUAUACAUUUAACUUUAUUCUAGUAGCCACAUUUUAAAAGUUAAAAAGUAUAAUAUUUUACUUAACCCAAUAUAUCCAAAACAUGUAAUCCCAACAUAUAAUAUAAAAAUAUUUAACAUUUUAAAAAUACCAAUUCUUUGAAAUCUUGUAUAUAUUUUAUACUCAGAACACUUCUCAUUUCAGACUACCCACAUUUCAAAGGCCCUGUUUCUUAUGGAUAAAAAAUGCUUUGUAGGGCAAAGCAGCACGUUGACAGAUAUCUACUUAAACAGAAAUUAUGGUACUAGUACUUGAGAAGCAAAAUGAAAAUCUCAUAAAACACAGCUAACAGAGAGUUGAAAAGCAUGUAUUUUAGAUAUGUUCAGACUAUUGGCAUGUUUGUUCAGACAAGUAUUGUCACUAAUAUGACAAACAUAUGGUCAAAUGUUUCGGAGAGCUAGCUAAAGCAAGAAACACUGUGUGCAAACAAUAUACAUAACAAUUUAUAAAAUUAAAUAUUGGGAAUAUAAGACAUUCAUAAUUUGAGGGCUAUUAGAUAGAUUCUACUUCUAAGUCUCUCAAAUCAGUUGUUUUAUUAAACGUUAUAUGAAUAAAGCUUCAUUAAUAAUAAUAUAAAAUAAUCCACCAUUAAUUUAAGCUAUCAAUCAGUAGUUCUGCACAAUAAUUUGUGUUUCAAUGAAAAUAUUCCAGCUUUCAGAUGCUACGCCCAAGAAAAAAAAAAUUUCAAGUAUCAUCUUUAAAAAUACUUAAAACUGGCCAGGUGCAGUGGGGCUCACGUCUGUAAUCCCAGCACUGUGGGAGGCCGAGGCGGGUGGAUCAUGAGGUCAGGAGAUC
rnacentral:lncRNA from 10 species